ACAUAAUUGCGUUGCGUCUCGUUCAAAUUUCUCAAAAACUCGAGUAAAAUAGUCACAUUGAUAAAUCGUAGGAAAAAGGAAAAAGAAACGAGUAGUUCAUUUUCUCAGUUGAUAGAGUGAAAGUGCAGAAAAGUCUCUCUCCCCAUUUGGAGAGUUAAGGCAGCAGCUGAUCCAUUUCUCUGCUUCUCUCGAGUCAAUUUGGAGGUCCGAUUUAGUUCGUCACUUGGCAAAAACACACUUUUCCAUGUAGAAAGUUGUCAAUAUUCUUGUGAUCUGUUCAAGUUUGGAAAGGCUAACCAAAGAUGUCAGCUGAGCUAGUUCGUUUGGCAACUAGGGAGAAUCUGAAUGAACCAGAUUGGUCUAAAAACAUCGAAAUAUGUGAAGUAGCCAGUCGCGAUCCAGUCAGGGAAGCUAAAAUUGUCAUUAAGGCGAUAAAAAAAAGGUUGGGAUGUAAGGAUCCAAAUAGCCAAGUUUUCUCUGUUGUUUUGUUGGAGAUGUUGAUGAAUAACUGUGGGGAACACAUUCACAGGAUGGUGGUUGAAACAGGACUCCUACAACUAAUGGUGAAGAUUGUCAAGAAAAAGUUAGAUUCGCCAGUUAGAGAAAAACUAUUUAUUCUUUUGGAUGCAACACAAACGGCCGUAGGUGGAGCUUCUGGAAAAUUUCCUCAAUAUUACAAAGCCUAUUAUGAAUUGGUGCGUGCACGUGUGCAGUUUCAAGACCAAUCUGCUGCAACAUCAAAUCCAUCAGACUCUAAUGCUGAAGAUGAAAAUUUGCCUGUUGUACCUACUGUUCCUCAAAAACCUGAUGUAGAUGCUGACCCACCAAAUCCCGACUCUGUACCAGAUUCAAGUAUUAUUGAGAAAGCGACUACUGUCAUGGAGGUUUUGCGAGAAGUACUUUAUGCUGUUGAUCCUUUGCAUCCUGAGGGUGCUACAAAUGAAUUCACCCUGGAUCUCAUGGAACAAUGCUCUUUCGAAAAGCAACGAGUUAUGCAUCUGGUGAUGACUUCAUGUGAUGAUCAACUAGUUUCACAAGCGAUAGAACUCAAUGAGCAACUGCAGCAGUUGCUCACUAAACAUGAUCAACUCCUCUCAUUUCCAAAUUCAUCAAGUACUGCUGUCAGCCAUGACAAUCAACUCUUCUCAGCUCCAAAAUCAUCGAGUACUGCUGUCGGCCAUGACAAUCAACUCUUCUCAGCUCCAAAAUCAUCGAGUACUGCUGUCAGCCAUGACAAUCAACUCUUCUCAGCUCCAAAAUCAUCGAGUACUGCUGUCAGCCAUGACAAUCAACUCCUCUCAGCUCCAAAUUCAUCAAGUACUGCUGUCAACCAUGAAGAUCAAUUCCCCUCAGCUCCAAAUUCAUCAAGUGUUGCUGUCAACCAUGAAGAAACAGAAGAUGAAGAGGAAGCUGAUUGUUUGCUUCAAAGAGAUCGAAAAGGAAAGGCCUGUGCCCAAGCUUGGAGGGAGGAUCCAUCUGAAAGCUCAUCAAAUUCAUCAGAUUCCUUCAUUCUUGAAAAUCUGCCGCCACCGCCACCCCCACCAUUUUGGUCAUCACUAAGAGAGGCGCAAGAAUCUGAACCUAUCCAGGCAGCUCCUGUGAUCCCACCUCCACCCGCAAAAAGCAAAGAGAGAGAUUUGUUUUUCAAGGAGAAAGAGACUGCUGCUCCAGGCAAGAUUGGUAUAAAGUUAGGCGGACUUUCCCUUCGCAAAAGAAAUGGAAAUGGCUCGCAGAGUGGAAGCAUGAAGUUCAAUGAAUGAAAGUCCCCUUCAAUUUUGCUUGGUUUUCCGCAAUUUUUUGUGUGCAUGUGCAGUUGAGGAGUUUCUAUGCAUGUGCAUCCGCCACUGCUAUAAUCCAAGGACACCCAAGGCCCAAGUUUUUAAAUUUUUUUUUUUCUGUUUGUCUCUAAAUUACGCUGAUUCUACUCCAAGUUCUUCAAAAUUUUCUGUGAAAAAAAAAAAAUUCACCAUGAGAGGAAGUACAAUCAGGUUUUCGUAAGUUACAGCUUUUUCAGCCUUUACAUGCCCCGCCCAUAUCUUCAUGGUGGCUAUUUGUUUCAUUCCUUCUCGGAAGCAGUCAGAAAAGGCGUGAAACAUGGCGCCCUGAGAAAUCUGAUCGUAAAGAGAAAAGUGAUUGAAGAGUAUGAUUGGCUGGUGAAGAAUGCUGAUUUCACAGGCACAACAAGAAACAUGAUUUGAGAAAGGGGGUUCUUGGUUUGAUGAAGUUUUCUGGAAGAGGAGAAGCAACUUCCAUCGCAAGUACAAAAGGAAGAAGUCCAUGUUCUCCUUCAAACCUUCCCUAUCUUCUCUUGUUCAUUGUCCUAUCUUGCAGUGAUGCCUGAACACAUCAACGUGUCAUGUCCCCUUGCUUGUUCUCGUCCUCCUGGUCACGACUUUGUGACGUAGAUGAAUCCUUGUCCUUGCCCUAUGGAGUUGGGUCUGCAUGUUCAAUUGUCUUCGCAUGAUAAGUAUUUCAUCCUGAGACCUGAAACUUUCACCUUUCCUUUCAUCCCCAAGGAUGUCAAGUCUGCUUUCGUGUUUUACUGUACUUUAAUUUGCAUAUUGGUGUUGAUGUUAUG